CAAAAACAUCGCCUCUUGAACUUAUUAGAGGUCCAGCCUGCCCGGUGACUCUUGUUUAACGGCCGCGGUAUCCUAACCGUGCGAAGGUAGCGUAAUCACUUGUCUUCUAAAUAAAGACUAGUAUGAAAGGCAUCACGAGGGUUUAACUGUCUCCUCUCUCUAAUCAGUGAACCUAAUCUCCCCGUGAAAAAGCGGGAAUUUUUAUAUAAGACGAGAAGACCCUAUGGAGCUUAAAACAUCUUUACACGUGCCCCCACACCCAAACACUCAGGUACCCUCAUACACUGGCACGAUGAUUUUAUGUUUUUGGUUGGGGUGACCGCGGAGAAAACCUCAUCCUCCGCAAUGAAAGGAACUCUUCCUUAACAACAAGCCACAGCUUUAUGUAUUAACAUAUUAACACCAUUGACCCAAUAAAUUGAUUAAUGAACCAAGUUACCCUAGGGAUAACAGCGCAAUCCACUUCCAGAGCCCCUAUCGACAAGUGGGCUUACGACCUCGAUGUUGGAUCGGGAUAUCCUAGUGGUGCAGCCGCUACUAAGGGUUCGUUUGUUCAACGAUUAAAACCCCACGUGAUC
rnacentral:rRNA from 1 species